GCUCUUGCAGCAAUUGACACAAUCGAUGUGGCUAAUGGAGCCAGUUCCUAUCUUUAGACAGUCACAUCCACGUUCGUACUUUUAGAAUAGUUGUUGCAACGGGGAAGAGCAUUUCUGCAAUAGCAAGAUAUCAGGACCCAAUGGGCAUAGGCCGAACCAACCACCAUCACUAUUGCUUCAGGAUUAGAUAGCCAACUUCCACUCAUGAGCCUGUCGAGUCAAGUUUCAGACUGAUCAUGUAUCCCCUUGAUAUUCACUGGAUGGAAUCCCCUGUUUUACUCAAACUGAACCUUCUACAAACAUCGGAAAAGCAACAGUAGUAAAGAUGGACAGAAAUUCCAAAAAUAAGGUUAGUUCUUUUUUGUUCUGUAUCAUUCUCUUUACCGUUCCUUUUGGUACUACACUCCAAAAAAGAGGCAAUCGGAAAUAUUUAGGUCCACUGAAAAGUAAUUCUGGAGCUCGCAGAGUUCUCAUUUUUCAGAUUUGCAGUAGUAUUCGCUUUUGGUUUACAUGAUAUUGGUUGUAUCUCCCUGACAACUGCUCUUCGGUUGGUGUAGGUGUUUUUUAUGGAUGUAGCUGGUUGCGAUGAAGCUAAACAAGAAAUAAUGCUAUCACUUAUUACCUUUGUCCUUCAAAUUUGAGUAUAGGCCUGUGAAAUAAUGAAUAUUUGUGUCUCAUUGCUCCAGCAUGGUCAAUAAAGAUAUGUUGACCCAGGAAAUGUGGGUUUAUCAUAGGUCCUACU